rnacentral:lncRNA from 1 species
CGUUGUGGGUAACGCGGACGUGGAAGAACCUCGUCUGCGGAGGAAAAGUCCCAGGUGCCGAGUCAAUCCCCAUACACAGCCGCCGCCAUUGCCUCGAGUCCUUGUGUCUGACUGUCUGUUCCUGCUGCUGUAUGACACAGCACCUCGAGGCAAGGAAAUAAGAAAACUGCCUCUGAUCCAAGCAGAGAAGGUCUGCCUGUAGAUCUGCUGUAGGGCUUGUCACCAUUGGAAGCAAGGUCCUACUUCAGUGGCAGAUCUGGUGGCCUUGGAGUGGCUGAAGACCACCACCCUCCACAGGGCUGGGCCCAUGCACAGCCAUCCUUCCCUACCUUGAAACUCCUGUAGCCUGUAAUACCAGCUGUGGGUACUACUCUCAGUGUUGGAGAUCAUCAAAAUACAAUUGGACCAGACCCUUUGGAAAUAAUUCUGUGUCUCAAAUGCCCUGUGGAGCACACACUUAAUCAGUUGAUGGCUAUGGAAUUUUCCAACAUCAGCUAAAGAGAAGGGAUAGAGUGGUGACUUCCAAGCUUCAUGCAGAACCGGACAACAGAAAUUGAGAGGGAAAUUUCUAUGACAGAAGAGAGAAAGAAGAAAAUUGCUGGAAUAAUGACCUUGAAUAGAGGAAAUGGGAUAUCAUCUGGUAAG